UACGGGGGGGGCAAGCGUUGUUCGGAAUUACUGGGCGUAAAGGGCUCGUAGGCUGCCAACUAAGUCAGACGUGAAAUCCCUCGGCUUAACCGGGGAACUGCGUCUGAUACUGGAUGGCUUGAGAUUGGGAGAGGGAUGCGGAAUUCCAGGUGUAGCGGUGAAAUGCGUAGAUAUCUGGAGGAACACCGGUGGCGAAGGCGGCAUCCUGGACCAACACUGACGCUGAUGAGCGAAAGCCAGGGGAGCAAACGGG
rnacentral:rRNA from 1 species